rnacentral:rRNA from 1 species
AUUGAACGCUGGCGGCAGGCUUAACACAUGCAAGUCGAGCGGAGAUGAGGUGCUUGCACCUUAUCUUAGCGGCGGACGGGUGAGUAAUGCUUAGGAAUCUGCCUAUUAGUGGGGGACAACAUUCCGAAAGGAAUGCUAAUACCGCAUACGUCCUACGGGAGAAAGCAGGGGAUCUUCGGACCUUGCGUUAAUAGAUGAGCCUAAGUAGGAUUAGCUAGUUGGUGGGGUAAAGGCCUACCAAGGCGAUGAUCUGUAGCGGGUCUGAGAGGAUGAUACGCCAAACGGGGACAGAGACACGGCACAGACGCCUACGCGAGACGGCAGAGAGGAAUAUUGGACGAUGGGGGAAACCCUGAUCCAGCGAUGCCGCGUGUGUGAAGAAGGCCUUAUGGUUGUAAAGCACUUUAAGCGAGGAGGAGGAUACUGAGACUAAUACUCUUGGAUAGUGGACGUUACUCGCAGAAUAAGCACCGGCUAACUCUGUGCCAGCCGCCGCAGUAA